rnacentral:rRNA from 1 species
GAUGAACGCUGGCGGCGUGCCUAAUACAUGCAAGUCGAGCGAACAGAUGAGAAGCUUGCUUCUCUGAUGUUAGCGGCGGACGGGUGAGUAACACGUGGGUAACCUACCUAUAAGGCUGGGAUAACUCCGGGAAACCGGGGCUAAUACCGGAUAAUAUUUUGAACCGCAUGGUUCAAUAGUGAAAGACGGUUUCGGCUGUCACUUAUAGAUGGACCCGCGCCGUAUUAGCUAGUUGGUAAGGUAACGGCUUACCAAGGCGACGAUACGUAGCCGACCUGAGAGGGUGAUCGGCAACACUGGAACUGAGACACGGUCCAGACUCCUACGGGAGGCAGCAGUAGGGAAUCUUCCGCAAUGGGCGAAAGCCUGACGGAGCAACGCCGCGCGAGUGAUGAAGGUCUUCGGAUCGUAAAACUCUGUUGUUGGGGAAGAACAAAUUUGUUAGUAACUGAACAAGUCUUGACGGUACCUAACCAGAAAGCCACGGCUAACUACGUGCCAGCCGCCGCCGUAA